GUGGGGAAUAUUGCACAAUGGGCGCAAGCCUGAUGCAGCAACGCCGCGUGAACGAAGAAGGCCUUCGGGUCGUAAAGUUCUGUCGCAUGGGAAGAUAAUGACGGUACCAUGUGAGAAAGCCCCGGCUAACUACGUGCCAGCAGCCGCGGUAAUACGUAGGGGGCAAGCGUUAUCCGGAAUUACUGGGCGUAAAGGGUGCGUAGGUGGUCUGACAAGUCAGGGGUGAAAGGCAACGGCUCAACCGUUGUAAGCCUUUGAAACUGUUGGACUUGAGUUCUGGAGGGGAAGUCGGAAUUCCUAGUGUAGCGGUGAAAUGCGUAGAUAUUAGGAGGAACACCGGUGGCGAAGGCGGACUUCUGGACAGAUACUGACGCUGAGGCACGAAAGCGUGGGGAGCAAACAGGAUUAGAAACCCUAGUAGUCC
rnacentral:rRNA from 1 species